GUGCAAAGAAAACUGUAGAAAAAGACUGCAGCUUUUUACUACUGGCAAUUAAAAACAGCUGUGAGAGGCAAAGGGUUAACAUCAGCUCUGCAUACUAUACCACCAUGUCUACAGCUUGUACCUUGCCCUUGAUCAACUACCCCGUAUUUCCUACACUUACCAAGAUUUAAUUCUCUUGAUGAAUGACAGGUGCUGUGGGAGAGAGUGAAAGAAGAAAUGAGAGGAAUGAAGGGCAGUUUUAGAGCAAGAGAAAAAAUGAAACAGGAAAAGUCUACAGAAGUCUCUAAACACAGCAUGCAGAAGUGACAGACAUAACAGAUGAAAGAGGAAAUAAUUGAGAAAAGUCUUUGAGGAACUGUAACAUUCAGGAUCGUAUUCUAUAUGGAUGUGAGAGAUUUGUGAAGAAUUGUGCUGUUGUUGCUAUUGCACAAGUUUAACCUACUGUGCUUUGAAAUCAGCUGGAGCAUUAACUGAGCUACUUCUCCUCCUUCUGCUGGCUGCUGCAAAUCCCCACAGUCUUUCAAUUAGGGAGCUACAUGUGCUGAAUUUCCCAUGCAGGAUGAAAGAGCAAUGGGUCUGUACUGUGCUGUCCGCUCAGGAGGCAGAGAGAACGGCACCCUGGUGAAAAAGCAAACCUAAAAAGCAGUGGAUGGUACUGUGCUACUGCCAGCACAAUUUGUAAUAGCAUGUUACAUCAUUUUUCCUGGGUUUGUAUGUGCCUCAUAAAGUCUUCAAAAUGAUCAGAUGAAUGAAAAGUGUUCUAAUCUGUAAGAAAUAUCAUAGGAUCAUGGAAUCAUCAAGAAAAGUCCUCCAGGAUCAUCCAGUCCAACCAUUCACUUACCUCCAAUAUUUCCCCACUAACCCAAGCCCCGUAGUAUAAGAUCUGAACAUUUCUGUUUAUCUGAAUGUGUACUUGAUCUCACACUGGUAAAGGAAAAAAA